GGUGGAUAUAGCCAAUAGGUACGGCAGUGGAUUGUGGUUCCAUAAUAUGCGGGUUCAAAUCCCGUUAUUCACC
rnacentral:tRNA from 1 species